rnacentral:rRNA from 1 species
GAAUAUUGCACAAUGGGCGCAAGCCUGAUGCAGCGACGCCGCGUGGGGGAUGACGGCCUUCGGGUUGUAAACUCCUUUCGACAGGGACGAAGCGUUAUAGUGACGGUACCUGUAGAAGAAGCACCGGCUAACUACGUGCCAGCAGCCGCGGUAAUACGUAGGGCGCAAGCGUUGUCCGGAAUUAUUGGGCGUAAAGAGCUCGUAGGCGGCUUGUCGCGUCUGCUGUGAAAACGCAAGGCUUAACCUUGCGCCUGCAGUGGGUACGGGCAGGCUAGAGUGCGGUAGGGGAGACUGGAAUUCCUGGUGUAGCGGUGGAAUGCGCAGAUAUCAGGAGGAACACCGGUGGCGAAGGCGGGUCUCUGGGCCGUUACUGACGCUGAGGAGCGAAAGCGUGGGGAGCAAAC